rnacentral:lncRNA from 1 species
GCUACGGUCACUAGCUCUAGCUGGCAGCUGGUCGUGCUGGACGUCGAAUCUGGAGAGGCAAAAGCUUGGGGCUCGCUCGCUCGCGGUGGUAGUGGUAGCCUAGCAGCCUGCAGGCAAACAACGCUUCCACUGUGGACGUACUGUGCGUGCAUAGCCCCCUUUGGCCUACGCUGCCAAUGUGGAGGGGUCAAACCGUCACUUCUGGUUUCCAGCACGGCAGCCGCAACUGCUAGCUCCCCGGAACAGCUCCGAGCAGUUCUUUUUUUUUUUUUCUAAAAAAAACUCCCAGCAGCUCUAGAUAUGAAACCUCUCCUAAUUUUUUUAGCCAAACACUCCCCACUCCCAUCUACUGUAGAUCUACCAAAACAUAAAACUGCUCCUAGAUACAUGAAAUUCAUAUUUUGUGGAGUACAUGACUUAUCGGUUCGUUCUAUUUCUCCUUUCUUCUCCUCCGCACGCAUCGCCUCGGUCUUUUUCUCUGCACGUGCCGCCUCCGGCGUCCUCCCUUGCUUCCUAGCAGGGCCGUGCACGGCAUUGCCGCACCCGCUCUCCCCACCCCGGAUGCACGGCAAAACAAAAGCUACUUAGGGCACUCUCAAAGGCAUGAAAUAAUUACUAGCUCCAUAACAUCUUCUCCAAUUAAUAAUAUUAACCUUUUAUCACAUGCUUGCACCU